ensembl:lncRNA
AUGGACGGAGUCGCGUUUGUCACUUUUGAUCGAGCUGAAGAUGCAGCAAAGGUGGUGGAAAAGGAACAGCAAGUGAUGGAGGAUGAGGAGUUUCCUGCUGUCUACACCCUCACCGUGUUUCCCUUCAGUACAGACGUGUUUCUGUACGUCAACAGCGCCACGGUGGAUCUCUCCGUCUUCGACGACCCCGCUUCGUUGAUAGCGAGUCUUCAGUCUACUUACAGAUCGAUACGAUUCCAGCGUUUGCCCCAGCAGAACAAGGAACGUAACAGAGGAGGUUGGAGAGCUGCAGCGAUGGGCGUUGUUAGGGGAAGCUCUUGAUCACAACAAAAGCAUCCAGAAGGACGGUGGGAUUCUGCAGGAGAGACCCUUCAUCACAGGUCCGCCUCCUCCAUCACAGGCUGUCCCUUUGAUACGUCUUAACCUUCCCCCAUUAUUUGGGUGGAGGGGGGGGCAUAAAAGAGGGUCAACGAGCAGAAAGCACGAAUAUUUUUUUUCUGUGACAGGCUCUCCAUCACACUCACGUGCACCCAUCAUGAACCAGGCGUAAUUAGCGUUUUGAAUGUGUGGCUUUCAUGGGAGGUCACCUAAAAUGACGAGUCUUUCAGGAAAAAAAAAAAGGCCUCCGCGUCACCCGGACACGGAACGCUCCUGAACAUCAAGGGUACUUCCAAUCCAGAGACCAAAUCUGAGGCUCAGGUGGGGCUGAAACAUACGAGCACUUCAGAAUAAACAUUCACAGACUGAAUGACAACAAGGUACUUAAAUUCAACAUGAUUAUGUACCUCAAUAUGCAGAUGAUGGUGUAAUUUAUUGCUUUAAUAUCAGCUAUAGUUUCUGUAGAUCCAACUCUUUUCUGUUGGUCGGACCGCAUUAAAAAAGUAAAUGAUAACAGGAACGUUUUACUUUUAGUAUUGUCUUUACACAAAAGGUUAAAGAAAUCAUUUAAUCCAGCCAAUUAGUUUCUGAUUUUUGGUGCAUUCCAGAUCCUUUGAGUGCAGUCUAGACUGUUCUCCAUACAGGUUCAAUUUCCGUACAAAUUUUGGUUAUUUAAAGCUGAGUUGUCCUCAAGGCAUUAUCACAGUAAAGAUGACAUAAAUAAUAUUUUCUGCUCAUGGUCCAUCAUUUUUUAGUUUGCAAUUACUGAGCCUAGUUUCCUGUUUUUUUUACAAAAAUUUCCUUUUUUUUAACAAAAUGUAUACCUGUCCUGUUGUAAUGUGCCUUUAUGAAGCACAAAGCUUCUCUGUUUGGAAAAAAUCAAGGGAUAAAACAAAGUUUUUAUGGUAAUUUUUAUAGACUGAGUAAAGUUCUUCCCCCAAUCAAGCUUCCUGUGAGCACCAAAACUCUCACUGUGCCUCAGACAACUCAUGCAGUAGUAAUAAUAUUUAUUUUCACGUCUUUUAGUUUUGCUUUCACAUUCUUUGUUGCUUUCACAUUUUUUGACAUUCACUUUCCUUUAAGUUAACAUUCACAUUCCUAUAAGUUAGCAUUUCGCAUUCCUCCAAGUUGNNNNNNNNNNGCAUUUCGCAUUCCUCCAAGUUAGCAUUUCGCAUUCCUCCAAGUUAGCAUUUCGCAUUCCUCCAAGUUAGCAUUUCGCAUUCUUCCAAGUUAGCAUUUCACAUUCCUCCAAGUAAACAUUUCCCAUUCCUCUAAGUUAGCAUUUCACAUUCCUCUAAGUUAACAUUUUCCAUUCCUCUUAGUUGCCAUUUCUCAUUCCUUUAUUAUUGGCAUUACACAUUCUUUUAGUUGGCAUUUCACAUUCCUUUAGUUUGGCAUAAGACUCUGUGCAAUUCCAUGAAACAUUUUUGCUCUUUAUCGUGUCUCCAAUGUCUACCAAUAAACCAUUACCUGUGAGUUUUUGUCGCUGUGUCCCUGAAACUGAAUGUUAAAUAAUGCUUUAGUCACUUUAGGUUUUUUAUUCUAUUUCUGCAGUAUCAAAGUAACAUGAUUCAGGUUGUGCAUCACAAUUCUGAGACAGCAACAUGACGAUGUAAUAAAUUAUAAUAGAUUAACAACAACUAGUAAUAUUUAUGACAAUAUGGAAUGGAGGUUACAUGCACAACACUGUUUACUUAAAAAAAAAAGACAAUAGUGAGUGUCAUGUUCCCAAAAUGACAGAAAGUCGUACGAAACUCUAAUCUGAGAGGAGAAACAUCAACAUCACGUUUUAAUGACAAAAGUCACAUUUAGCUCACAGACUUCUAAUUAAACUGAUAUUUUUCUGUCAUUUGGUUCAGUUUCUUACUCUGUUUGAUGAAUACAGUAUCACAUCAAAUGAAAAUACUAUUCAAAUAAAACCCUGAAAAGUUACAUUAACACAAAUGUGUCAUUUUAUGAAAAUAAAAAUCCAAUUUUUGUUACAAAUUGUUUCUUUUUUUCCAUCUGUGACCCUUUCUUUGGUCCUGCCCUCUAUAAACAUCCACCCUCCCUCUUUAUUCUGUUUGCCCUGAAAUGUAAAAAGGAAUAUACAAGAUGA